AGAGUUUGAUCAUGGCUCAGGAUGAACGCUGGCGGCGUGCCUAACACAUGCAAGUCGAACGGGGUUAAGGGAAAUUUCGGAUGGAACUUAACUUAGUGGCGGACGGGUGAGUAACGCGUGGAUAACCUGCCUCACACUGGGGGAUAGCAGCUGGAAACGGCUGGUAAUACCGCAUAAGACCCCGGUGCCGCAUGGCACCGAGGUAAAAGAUUUAUCGGUGUGAGAUGGAUCCGCGUCUGAUUAGCCAGUUGGCGGGGUAACGGCCCACCAAAGCGACGAUCAGUAGCCGGCCUGAGAGGGUGAACGGCCACAUUGGGACUGAGACACGGCCCAAACUCCUACGGGAGGCAGCAGUGGGGAAUAUUGCACAAUGGGCGCAAGCCUGAUGCAGCCAACGCCGCGUGAGCGAAGAAGUAUUUCGGUAUGUAAAGCUCUAUCGGCAGGGAAGAAAGGCCCGAAAGGGAGAUGACGGUACCUGACUAAGAAGCCCCGGCUAACUACGUGCCAGCAGCCGC
rnacentral:rRNA from 1 species